UACAAAGGAGCGUAUUAUUAAUUGGAUUGAGUUCAACAUUAAGAAGAAAGGGAUGUUGAUAAAUUUAUAUUGCAACACAGUGUUUCUAGUUUGGAAAAGUAGAAACAAGUUAAUUCAUGAUGGUGUUGAAAGCAAUUCAAGUUAUAUAGCUUCUAAUGCUAUUUGCCAAUCUGUAAUUUCCCUUAAUUUUAGUCAAUUUAAUUUGGGCUUUUGGGAUGUUAAUCAGUCGUUAAGACUGUCAAAAUCUUGGCAUCCUCUUCCACCCAAUUGGCUAAAGGUUAAUGUUGAUGCUUCACUUCUUUCUUCACACAAAGCUGGAAUAGCUGCAGUUUUCCGAGAUAGCAAAGGGAGGUUCUUUUUUGCUUAUGGAAAGUCACUUCAACAUUGGGAUAUAGCUCAAUUGGAGAUGCUUGCUAUACAAUCUCUAAAGGAGGUGAUAAAGGAUUGGAUGUUCAAAUACAAGGGUAUUAUCAUAGAAGGAGACAAUUCAAAUAUCAUUUCAUAUUUCAAAAAUGCUUGGAAAACAGGGAGGUUCAAGGAUGAUGGUAUGGAAUUUCUUACUAGUUUCAACUGUCUUAUUUAAUUGUAUUAAUAGAGAAUACAAUAAGUUAGCAAACCUAUGUGCUAACUAUGCUCUUUUUAGUAGCUUUGAGUGGGUGGAUUGUUUAGAGAAUAAGAUUCCUCCUUCAUUCUUUAAAAUUUUGAAGGAGGAAUCUAGUUUGUAAUUGCUUCAAAAAAAAGAAGAUAAAUUUAAUUAGAAAAUUUAUUGUUUUUGUCAAAAGAGACAUCCUUUGAGAUAAGGAAUUCUUCUAUGAUAAGAUGACAAUACUUGUAACCUUUUUUAGUAGAGGAAUAUCUGCUAAAAAAAUAUUUAAUGGCUUUAGGAUUUAGUUUAUCCAAAUGCUACUUGUGAAUAUGGACAUAAACAAUGCACCAAAAAUUUUUUAAAGGAAUUUGAGAGAAAUAAUUUGUGGGAAAAAAUAUAGCUAGAUAGUUUUUAAAAGUCCAUCACUCUUAAUGUUAUUCUAUCAAUUUGGCAAGUAGCAGUUAUAACAACUUUUCUCCAGUAUAUAUCUUUUUUGUACUUGAUUCUAGAGAAGAACAAUCUUGUUAAUUUCUAGGAGAAUUGGUAAUCACAAGUAGCAUUGGUAAUAUUUUUUAUUCUGUCACACCUCAUAUUGUUGGAGAGCAUCAAAAUAGGAGAAUUGGUAAAUUAUACUGUCUUUAUAAAAUAAAGAAGAUAAUAUAUGAUUAAAGUUAUCACAAGUAAAAUAUUUUGAUGUUGAUAUUAAAUUAAUUUUUUAUCAAGAUAGUGGAAGUGGAGAAAAUAAUACUAAUUUUAGAUUUUCAUGCAAUCAUAAGUGAAAUUAACAAAUCCAAUAACUAGAAAUGUUGUGGAUUUUGAAGGAUCCCCAAACAACAGAAUGAACAAACAUAAAAGAAGUGAAGGAUCUAAAAUAACUUUAAAAAUCUCUGAUACAUCAAUGUUUUGCAAUUUCACAAGUCCAACAAAAUUUUCAAUGUUUGCAUUAAAAAACAUAGAAAGAAACAAACAAUGUAGGUUUUGAAAAAGGGAUGCUCUAGCCUAUAAAUAUCUUCUCAAACGACUUAUGUAUUGAAGGUGAAACUGAAGAAACAUAAUGAAUGACCCGUAUCCAAGAAGAUAUUACUCAUCCUUAUCUUUGCUUUCUUAAUUAACUUACUCAUAUUGAUGUCUUAUGAUACAGAAUGAGCAGCAAAUAAGAUUACCUUGUAGCUGUCGUCUUCUAAUAAGGUAAAAAGAAAAAGUUUUGGAAGAAAUAAACACUGACCUCGCUCUGAUAACACAAUAGAAAACUUGUUUUGAAUUUUUUUACUUAUUUUUGUGUGUAGAUAUUGAAGGUAUUUAUAGGCUGCUCUAAUAAUACUACUAAUGGAAAAAGAUAAAUAUAGUUUAUACAAAAUAAAUUAAUAAUGCAACAAGGGGCCAUUUAUAAUUUGAAAGCUCAGUCAUGUCAUUCACAAAUAAUUAUUAUAAGAUUUAUUUAAGAUAAAUUGACCUAAAUCAUUAACCUUAUAAAAGUGCUAUAUUUAACUGGCAUUGAAAAGUCGUGACCUACAAAGAUAAUUUUUUUCUUAUUUUCAUGCAAACAGUUAAACCAUUGCUGGGGAAAAGAAGAAAAUACUCCGAAGGCACAAAUGGCAGCUCAAGGCUUCAGAAUUCAAUGCAACUGUCAUUAUAUUGAUUACUUCUUGAUGAGGGCAAAUUAUUCUUUGCGGAGUUGCCAAUAAAAAUGCGCCACGUUAUCUCAAAACUGUACCGCUCUCGGUAUUGAGCACGGAACCGAGUGGUACCGAGCAUCGGUACAGCUCGGUACCAAGCGGUACCGAUGUCCGCACAAAAUAAUCUCUCCUUGAUGAGACCCCUGAGAGGACUGUUUUCUUGUAGAAAUUCGUGAUAAGAGACUUCAAAAGAAAUGAAAUGGUAUUUGAGAAGCGGGCAAAUUUUUCUGUGCGGAGUUCGGGCGUCGUCUAGAAGCCAAUAAAAAUGAGCCACGUCACCUCAAAGGUGCACUGCAAGCUAUACCGAGCAUGGUACCGAGUACCAUGCUUGGUACCGAGUACCAUGCUUGGUACCAAGCGGUACCGGACAGUUCUCCCAUCAGUAUCCGCACAGAAUAAUCUCUCAAGCGUAAGUAGCUGUUGUCAUGACAACGAGUCUCACGUGUAUGCAUUAUCUAAACCUAGAAGAUUAAAUGAAGUACCUGAAGAGAGUAGCAACAGCAGAUUUCCUGUUGCAGUAAGAAUACAGCUGAAGUUUGCACGUUUUAACAGCAGGAAAUCAAUUAUGGAUCUAUCUGCAGUAAAACUAUUUUUUUUUUUUUUUGGGAUUUUUACAUACAUAACACCUGAAACUACUCAAAAUACCUAUUCAACACCUAAAGUUUCAUAUUUACUAAUGUACCACUUAUUUCUCAUUCUAAACAUUAGAUAUAGCACUACGUUUCGUUCCGUCAAAACCCCUCUCCUGAACCCACUCAAUUUUCCCGCAUGAAAGCUUCGGCGAAACUUCGUCGCCUCUUCUUCACUCGAGCAGAAAUGAGUUCCAUUAAUUUUUGCUACAUCGUCCUGAAAUUUGGUGGAUAUUGGAGUGAGGUGCAAGGUCAAACUCGAAUGAAGUAUGUAGGCGGAAAUCAGAAAACCUUGAAGCUUCAAAGAGAUGAAAUCAGUUUGUUGUUGCUAAAAGAACGAGUUGAAGCACUUUGUCAUUGGCUACGGGGACAACCGUUCGGCAGACCCAAAAAAAGGCGAAUAAAAAAUUUCUUAGAAGCAGGAAAGAAAACAAAAACUGGACAUAGGUGCAGUCGUUGCAAUUUAUUGGGCCAUCAUAGAAGUACCUGCAAGAAUCCAUUAAAUGCGGCAGGGGACGACAUUGUUAAUGAGAGCAUACAACAAGAUGUUGCCUAGUACAUAGGACGUCCUGCUGCUGUUUAGAUUGAUGUAACAAAUUGUCUUGUUACAGAUUUUGCUAUAUGUGUUUCUUACACUAUACUUUUGCUGCUAUAACUAUUUUCCUGUAAACAUUUUGUUGGAAACUGCAAUGGAAAUACAUUUUGUUGGCUGAAGAAGAUACCCUUAGACUUCGGGUAUUGCAAUGGAAAUACAUGUAAACGAACUGCUAUUACUAACAGGUAUUGCAAUGUAAAUAGAUUUGGUUUUACCGAAAA